UUGAGUCUCGUAGAGGGGGGUAGAAUUCCAGGUGUAGCGGUGAAAUGCGUAGAGAUCUGGAGGAAUACCGGUGGCGAAGGCGGCCCCCUGGACGAAGACUGACGCUCAGGUGCGAAAGCGUGGGGAGCAAACAGGAUUAGAUACCCUGGUAGUCCACGCCGUAAACGAUGUCGACUUGGAGGUUGUGCCCUUGAGGCGUGGCUUCCGGAGCUAACGCGUUAAGUCGACCGCCUGGGGAGUACGGCCGCAAGGUUAAAACUCAAAUGAAUUGACGGGGGCCCGCACAAGCGGUGGAGCAUGUGGUUUAAUUCGAUGCAACGCGAAGAACCUUACCUGGUCUUGACAUCCACGGAAGUUUUCAGAG
rnacentral:rRNA from 1 species